GAUGAACGCUGGCGGCGUGCUUAACACAUGCAAGUCGAACGGAAAGGCUCCUGCUUGCAGGGGUACUCGAGUGGCGAACGUGUGAGAAACACGUGGGUGAUCUGCCCUGCACUGCGGGGUAAGCCUGGGAAACUGGGUCUAAUACCGGAUAGGACGAUGGGUUGGAUGCGAUUGUGGAAAGUUGUUGGGUGUGGGAUGAGCUCGCGGCUUAUCAGCUUGUUGGUGGGGUAAUGGCCUACCAAGGCGUAGACGGGUAGCCGGCCUGAGGGGGUGGACGGCCACCUUGGGACUGAGAUACGGCCCAGAGUGCUACGGGAGGCAGCAGUGGAGAAUAUUGCACAAUGGGCGCAAGCGUGAUGCAGCGACGCCGCGUGGGGGAUGCCGGCCUUCGGGGUGUAAACUGCUUUCGCUAGAGACGAAGCGCAAGUGACGGUACCUGGAGAAGAAGCACCGGCUAACUACGUG
rnacentral:rRNA from 1 species